UCUAAGUUUGAUGGCGACCGGCGCACGGGUGAGUAACACGUAUCCAACCUGCCGAUGACUCGGGGAUAGCCUUUCGAAAGAAAGAUUAAUACCCGAUGGCAUAGUUCUUCCGCAUGGUAGAACUAUUAAAGGAUUUCGGUCAUCGAUGGGGAUGCGUUCCAUUAGGUUGUUGGCGGGGUAACGGCCCACCAAGCCUUCGAUGGAUAGGGGUUCUGAGAGGAAGGUCCCCCACAUUGGAACUGAGACACGGUCCAAACUCCUACGGGAGGCAGCAUG
rnacentral:rRNA from 1 species